ACGAACGCUGGCGGCGCGCCUAACACAUGCAAGUCGAACGGAGCUGAGAGGAGCUUGCUUUUCUUAGCUUAGUGGCGAACGGGUGAGUAACGCGUGAGUAACCUGCCCUGGAGUGGGGGACAACAGUUGGAAACGACUGCUAAUACCGCAUAAGCCCACGAUCCGGCAUCGGAUUGAGGGAAAAGGAUUUAUUCGCUUCAGGAUGGACUCGCGUCCAAUUAGCUAGUUGGUGAGGUAACGGCCCACCAAGGCGACGAUUGGUAGCCGGACUGAGAGGUUGAACGGCCACAUUGGGACUGAGACACGGCCCAGACUCCUACGGGAGGCAGCAGUGGGGGAUAUUGCACAAUGGGGGAAACCCUGAUGCAGCGACGCCGCGUGGAGGAAGAAGGUUUUCGGAUUGUAAACUCCUGUCGUUAGGGACGAUAAUGACGGUACCUAACAAGAAAGCACCGGCUAACUACGUGCCAGCAGCCGCGGUAAAACGUAGGGUGCAAGCGUUGUCCGGAAUUACUGGGUGUAAAGGGAGCGCAGGCGGACCGGCAAGUUGGAAGUGAAAACUAUGGGCUCAACCCAUAAAUUGCUUUCAAAACUGCUGGCCUUGAGUAGUGCAGAGGUAGGUGGAAUUCCCGGUGUAGCGGUGGAAUGCGUAGAUAUCGGGAGGAACACCAGUGGCGAAGGCGACCUACUGGGCACCAACUGACGCUGAGGCUCGAAAGCAUGGGUAGCAAACAGGAUUAGAUACCCUGGUAGUCCAUGCCGUAAACGAUGAUUACUAGGUGUUGGAGGAUUGACCCCUUCAGUGCCGCAGUUAACACAAUAAGUAAUCCACCUGGGGAGUACGACCGCAAGGUUGAAACUCAAAGGAAUUGACGGGGGCCCGCACAAGCAGUGGAGUAUGUGGUUUAAUUCGAAGCAACGCGAAGAACCUUACCAGGUCUUGACAUCCGAUGCAUAGUGCAGAGAUGCAUGAAGUCCUUCGGGACAUCGAGACAGGUGGUGCAUGGUUGUCGUCAGCUCGUGUCGUGAGAUGUUGGGUUAAGUCCCGCAACGAGCGCAACCCUUAUUGCCAGUUACUACGAAAGAGGACUCUGGCGAGACUGCCGUUGACAAAACGGAGGAAGGUGGGGAUGACGUCAAAUCAUCAUGCCCCUUAUGACCUGGGCUACACACGUACUACAAUGGACAUUAACAGAGGGAAGCAAUACAGCGAUGUGGAGCAAACCCCUAAAAAUGUUCUCAGUUCAGAUUGCAGGCUGCAACCCGCCUGUAUGAAGAUGGAAUUGCUAGUAAUCGCAGAUCAGCAUGCUGCGGUGAAUACGUUCCCGGGCCUUGUACACACCGCCCGUCACACCAUGAGAGUCGGAAAUGCCCGAAGUCUGUGACUCAACCGUAAGGAGAGAGCAGCCGAAGGCAGGUCUGAUAACUGGGGUG
rnacentral:rRNA from 1 species